GGGAAGGUGGCUCAGUGGUAGAGCGCUUCCCUUGCAUGAAUGAGGCCCUGGGUUCGAUUCCUCAGUUCCA
rfam:Dipodomys ordii contig_7553, whole genome shotgun sequence.